UACGGAGGGUGCAAGCGUUAUCCGGAUUCACUGGGUUUAAAGGGUGCGUAGGAGGGCAGGUAAGUCAGUGGUGAAAUCCCCGAGCUUAACUUGGGAACUGCCGUUGAUACUAUCUGUCUUGAAUAUUGUGGAGGUGAGCGGAAUAUGUCAUGUAGCGGUGAAAUGCUUAGAUAUGACAUAGAACACCAAUUGCGAAGGCAGCUCGCUACAAAUAUAUUGACUCUGAGGCACGAAAGCGUGGGGAUCAAACAGG
rnacentral:rRNA from 1 species